GGUAUUGAAAUAAGAUUUUAAAUGAGUGCUAAGAGAAUGAUUAAACAAUUAAAAACUUUCUUUAAUUAAAUAAUUAAAUUUAAUUUUUUUUGUGCGAAAGCAAAAAUAAAAUUUAGGGACAAGAAGACCCUAUGAAUUUUUAUUAUUAAUAUUUUGCAAUUAAAUUAUUAAUAAUUUAAUUGGGGUGAUAAAAAAAGAAUAAAUAUCUUUUUAAUUGUAAAAUAAGUUCCGUUUUUAGCGAUUAAAUGAAAAAAAUACUCUAGGGAUAACAGCGUAAUAAUUUUGGAUAGUUCAUAUAGAUAAAAUAGUUUGCGACCUCGAUGUUGGAUUAGGAUUCU
rnacentral:rRNA from 1 species